rnacentral:rRNA from 1 species
CCUACGGGUGGCAGCAGUAGGGAAUAUUGCUCAAUGGGGGAAACCCUGAAGCAGCAACGCCGCGUGGAGGAUGAAGGUUUUCGGAUUGUAAACUCCUUUUGUUAGAGAAGAUAAUGACGGUAUCUAACGAAUAAGCACCGGCUAACUUCGUGCCAGCAGCCGCGGUAAUACGGAGGGUGCAAGCGUUACUCGGAAUCACUGGGCGUAAAGAGCGCGUAGGCGGGAUAGCAAGUCAGAUGUGAAAUCCUAUGGCUUAACCAUAGAACUGCAUUUGAAACUGUUAUUCUAGAGUAUAGGAGAGGUAGGUGGAAUUCUUGGUGUAGGGGUAAAAUCCGUAGAGAUCAAGAAGAAUACUCAUUGCGAAGGCGACCUACUAGAACAUAACUGACGCUGAUGCGCGAAAGCGUGGGGAGCAAACAGGAUUAGAUACCCCGGUAGUC